GGAUGUUCUGCUCAUCAGAAGGGCUGUCCCAGCCAUCAGGGCUCUGCCACUCAGCCCACUACUGCACAGGAGGUGCGGUGUCUCCCACCCCCCUCAAACACAAGGUGGAGGCCCCAGGACUUUCUGGGAAUGAUAUCUGCCCUCCCGGCUUCUUCUGCCCCAGAGGAACAGGCUCCCCAAUGCCAUGCCUGCCUGGGUCUUACUCCUCUGCCCCAGGCCUGGCCAGCGAGGACCAGUGCCAGCCGUGUCCUCCAGGGCACUACUGCAGCAACCCUGGGCUCUCCCAUGUCCCAGAGGCAGAACUCUGCGAUGCAGGGUGAGGGGGUCCUGACCCUGAACUCCUCAGGUGCAAAGAAGGAGGAGGGUCCCUAGGUCAGGCCUGAUAGGGCCCCAAGUUACAGAUCCCAUGGUCUCUCCCCAGUCCCUGUAAGGAGCCUGAGCCAGGGUAACUGUCGCCUAGGAUGUAGGCCUCUGAUGUGUUGUCCCUUUGAUAUAGGACUGAACUGAUCCCACCCUCCCAGCACUGACCUUCCAAGAUCCAAGGAAUGCCAAUGUGCCAGGACAGCCCUAUGGUCCCACUAAGUCUCAGGGCAGCCUCCACACCCUCCACUACCAGGCCUUGGUCUUUUCCUCGUUGGCCAAUGGCCAACCUGUGUCUGAGAUUCCUGACAGGUACAUUUUCUCCUCACUGUUGAAAGGGCUGGAGACUGGCCACCAGUAAGAAGGAAGUCCUGUUCCAUCGGUUCACAGGACAGAAAAAUCUUGGAGAGGGAAGCCAUGCUUAUCCUGGAAAAUGUCUGACCCUUCCCAGAACUGUGCCUGAGCCCCUACUGUAUAGUUUCCUAUCACAGGGGCAGAGACAUGUUUUAGAGUUGAGGACCAGAGGACCUCCUUCCAUCCCAGGGAUGACACUUGGCUGUGGCCAUACUGAGCUUGUCCUCAGCACAACUCUGAUAGCCUGGGGCUCCAAAAGCUACCCCUUUCUCUCACCUUUUGCUUGGCCAGGACCCCAUCAUCAUGCUAGAAGUGGUUCAGCCACAAUUCUUCAUUUCCUCAGGUAUAUCUGCCUGGGAGGCAGUGCUGUGCCCUCACCUUCUGAUGGAACCCACGGAUACAGAUGUCCUCCUGGCUUCCACUGUCCCUCAGGGGCUCACAGCGAGCAGCCCUGUGAACCUGGCACCUUCAGCCCAUUGCCUGGGGCUGACACCUGCCUGCCUUGCCCAGGAGGCACCUACUGCCAAAAUGUUGCUACCGUGGAGCCCACCACCUGCCCCAAAGGUCACUAUUGCCCAGGAGGGACACCCUCUGCUCUUCCCUGCCCGGAGGGAACCCUGAACCUACGGGAAGGUGCUCUCUCCCCCAGGGCCUGUCAGCCCUGUCCUGCAGGAAGAUACUGCCCUGGUGAGGGCAACGGGCAGACUGAGGAACCACCUGCACCCAGCCCCUGGCUACAAAGGUAUCAUCGGACUACAGGCCUGGAGUACUCAGUCCCUCAGGACCCUGGCAUCCAUCUCCAUAUUCCAAACCCAGUGGUCUGCCUGGAAGAAGGGGACGUGAUUCUUUUCCAGCUUCACAUUCUUCCUCACAAUCGCUCAGCCAGUCACUACCCUGUGUACCAGAUGCAGCAUUUGUUCAACAGCAACCCCAACUGGGACUUUGGGGCCUUCAGGAGACUCAGCCACCUCGUGCGAGAGACUCACCUCAACUUUUCAAGGUAAUCUCUGCUGAGCUGCCUGGGAACUUGGAGGAACCAUGCUUCCUCACAUGUAGGUCGCAGCUAGGGAGGCACUAGGAAGACACAGAGGAGGAUGUGAGGCUGUCAACCAUGUGGGAGGUGAGGCCAGAAAAGACCAAGGACAGGUGAGGCCUCCUGAAUGCAUGGAGGGCAGCGAUUUGGGAGUCAUGGGCAGCUUCCCUAGACCACAUUAUUCCUGUGCAUGGGGAAGAGCUCACACACUCAGUCUGGUAUAAGCAGCCCAGCAAAGCUAACUUUCCCUAUAUUCUGGCCCUUCGUUCCCCAGGUUUGCCCACCAGUUCCUAGAUCCAGGCACAUAUGUGUUUCGAGACAACAGACUGCCUGAGAGCAUCAUUGUGGUGCUGGUGAAGAAGAAAGGAGUGGCCUGCGAUCCCGGCCUAUCCCCUGUGCAGCCCUCCUCCCCGUAUCAGCUUGUCAGGCAUGGGGUCCUCAGGCACGAGCUGCUAAACCUGGGCCCAGACUGGACAGUGAUCACAGGUACUGACCCCAGGCCAGAGUAGCCAUGACCUGGAGGGGGCAUGGGAGAAACCUUGCACAGCAGGACCCUUCAGUGCAUGUCCAGCCCUACCUGUGACUCUAGGCAUGGCCCCAAAGACUUCAGAUGGGCACUAGGACAACCUUGUCCCUAAACUAGGACUUCAUUUGCCAGGUAGAGAAUAUUUAAUUUCCUUCUUGGGGUCCUUCCCUUUCUUCCUACCUCCCAAGCUCCUCAGUUUUGGGGCCUGUUCUUGUGAACAGGGUCUCGUGGUCAACAGCGCCCCUGAGUGGAGUCAUAGGCUCACCAAGAUGUUCAUUCUAACCUCUUCUGUGUGUGUUUCCAACCAUUUUCUUUCCUUCCUGUCUUCAUGAGUCAGCAAUCUCACUGAGCUUUCCAGGCUGAGCCUCAGACGGUGGGUCUGUCAUGGCCCCUUGCCCAGAUGGGCAGGAAGAAAGCAGCCCUGCAGCGGCUGAGGCAUAAGCCU
ensembl:lncRNA